rnacentral:misc_RNA from 1 species
AGAUGGCCGGUCCGUGAUAAAGUUUCCCGUGUUUUGACCAUCUGCCCUGAUACUUUGAAUACCUGCUGGAAUCUGCUUAGUAGCAUCAGCAGGAGGAGAAGGAGCAGCAACAGGCUCUUUAUUUAUCGGCUGAGCUUCACUUUGAACAGCCUGGGGGUUCGUUUUAGUUGACGUUGGAGCCUCACCAUCCCCAAACAAGUAUCCUAAUGAACUCUGUCCUCCUCCACUACUAACUCCACGACCCAUAUCGUUACUUCUUUCCCGUUAGAUCCACAAAUACCCUUUUUUCUUAUUCCUAUUUGAUUGAUGAUGAAUGAUUGUGUGAAUGUGAACAGGGAAGUAAAUGAACGAAGAAAGUGUGUAAUAAUAUAAUCACCCACGACCCAUAUCGUUA